ACGCUGGCGGCAGGCCUAACACAUGCAAGUCGAGCGGUAGAGAGAAGCUUGCUUCUCUUGAGAGCGGCGGACGGGUGAGUAAUGCCUAGGAAUCUGCCUGGUAGUGGGGGAUAACGUUCGGAAACGGACGCUAAUACCGCAUACGUCCUACGGGAGAAAGCAGGGGACCUUCGGGCCUUGCGCUAUCAGAUGAGCCUAGGUCGGAUUAGCUAGUUGGUGAGGUAAUGGCUCACCAAGGCGACGAUCCGUAACUGGUCUGAGAGGAUGAUCAGUCACACUGGAACUGAGACACGGUCCAGACUCCUACGGGAGGCAGCAGUGGGGAAUAUUGGACAAUGGGCGAAAGCCUGAUCCAGCCAUGCCGCGUGUGUGAAGAAGGUCUUCGGAUUGUAAAGCACUUUAAGUUGGGAGGAAGGGCAGUUACCUAAUACGUGAUUGUUUUGACGUUACCGACAGAAUAAGCACCGGCUAACUCUGUGCCAGCAGCCGCGGUAAUACAGAGGGUGCAAGCGUUAAUCGGAAUUACUGGGCGUAAAGCGCGCGUAGGUGGUUAGUUAAGUUGGAUGUGAAAUCCCCGGGCUCAACCUGGGAACUGCAUUCAAAACUGACUGACUAGAGUAUGGUAGAGGGUGG
rnacentral:rRNA from 1 species